GCCGAAGUGGCGGAAUUGGCAGACGCGCUAGAUUCAGGUUCUAGUGAGCAAUACGCUCAUCGGGGUUCAAGUCCCCGCUUCGGCACCA
rnacentral:tRNA from 2 species